CAGUAGCCGCGGUAAUACAGAGGGUGCAAGCGUUAAUCGGAAUUACUGGGCGUAAAGCGCGCGUAGGUGGUUUGUUAAGUUGGAUGUGAAAGCCCCGGGCUCAACCUGGGAACUGCAUCCAAAACUGGCAAGCUAGAGUACGGUAGAGGGUGGUGGAAUUUCCUGUGUAGCGGUGAAAUGCGUAGAUAUAGGAAGGAACACCAGUGGCGAAGGCGACUAUCUGGGCCAACACUGACACUGAGGCACGAAAGCGUGGGGAGCAAACAGGAUUAGAUACCCGAGUAGUCCCUGUCUCUUAUAC
rnacentral:rRNA from 1 species